GAUGAACGCUAGCUACAGGCUUAACACAUGCAAGUCGAGGGGUAACAAGAGGAAAGCUUGCUUUUCUUGUUGACGACCGGCGCACGGGUGAGUAACGCGUAUCCAACCUGCCUAUAACUAGGGAAUAACCUUGCGAAAGUAAGACUAAUACCCUAUGAUUUCCUUUGAUGGCAUCAGAUUAGGAAUAAAGAUUUAUCGGUUAUAGAUGGGGAUGCGUCUGAUUAGCUUGUUGGCGGGGUAACGGCCCACCAAGGCAACGAUCAGUAGGGGUUCUGAGAGGAAGGUCCCCCACAUUGGAACUGAGACACGGUCCAAACUCCUACGGGAGGCAGCAGUGAGGAAUAUUGGUCAACGGGCGGAAGCCUGAACCAGCCAAGUAGCGUGCAGGAUGACGGCCCUAUGGGUUGUAAACUGCUUUUAUACAGGAAUAAAGUUAGCCACGUGUGGUUAUUUGUAGGUACUGUAUGAAUAAGGACCGGCUAAUUCCGUGCCAGCCGCCGCGGUAACAC
rnacentral:rRNA from 1 species